rnacentral:rRNA from 1 species
UGUCCUACGGGGGGCAGCAGUGAGGAAUAUUGGUCAAUGGGCGGGAGCCUGAACCAGCCAUGCCGCGUGAAGGCGAGUGCCCUACGGGCGUUAAACUUCUUUUGUGCGGGAGCAAUAAGGGCCACGUGUGGCCCGAUGAGAGUACCGCACGAAUAAGCAUCGGCUAACUCCGUGCCAGCAGCCGCGGUAAUACGGGGGAUGCGAGCGUUAUCCGGAUUUAUUGGGUUUAAAGGGUGCGUAGGCGGUUUGAUAAGUUAGAGGUGAAAUGUCGGGGCUCAACCCCGAAACUGCCUCUAAUACUGUUG